CCAAAACAGAAAUAAACUGACUUACCAAAUUCAACGCAAACCUCUAAAUAAAUUAAUUUAGCCUGCAAAUAAAAUGUAGCUAAAAUUAACCAAAGGAAAAGCACAAAUAGAUUUUGUUGUGUCGUAUGCAGCGGUGGCGAUACGUAACUAACAUAACGCAACGUAACCCAGCUCGAGCCUUGGCCUGAUCCAGCAGGUUAGGGGAGCCAGAGUUACGUUGCGCUAUGGGGACUUUAUUGUACCUAUACUAUAACAGCAUUUUUAGUACAAAUUGUUGGGGCUGUAGCUUAUAAAUAUAUGUAAAUAGCUGUCUACGAGCUGCUGUUAGCAGCCGUAGGCAGCAAAUACGAUGCUUUGAACAGCACGAAAUCUCCUCUGCCGGCAGUGCUGCCGGCGCAAUCAUCAUUGGGGGAAAUCUCUCCACUUUGGCAACAGUCCGUUAGCCAGAGCGGGGAGAGGGAGUGGGCAGAGCCAAAGCAUAAAAUACUCUAGACUUUAAAUUAAGUUUAAGUUUACAUUAUCGACUAAGGGGAAACAUUUUGGCAGAAAAGGGAGAUUAUAUAUGUAUGUUUUCUAUUCUAAUUCUUGUCUUCUUAUUUGUUUUUGUCUUGUUUACGUUUCUCUUCUGCCCACUGGUCCGGGGCAGCCAGAGCUAUUGCUUGUCAAUUGGAGUAAUUAGUACUAGUACUAUACAUUACUGGCAUAAGAAUUUGCCUGGAUGCUAGCGUAUAAGCAAUCUGUCAGCUUAGUCAUCUGUGCAAUUAGUACAUCUAUCUUCCCUUCCAGUUUCUGGGUAGAUUCAGCAGCGGCGGCCGCAUGCUGGAUCCGCUCCUGUGUCAGCAGUGUGAUGAGGUAGUCCAGUUUCUGGCUGAGUUCAUCGCUAGGACGGACACUCUGACUGCUCACAGUGGGCUGGAAUCCGAUUGUGGUCGCUGUGGGUGGCACCGACUGCCAUACUUGCCUCCCUGGAAGAGGCUGGGAAUGACUCGCUGGCUGCCUUGUGCGGAGUGCAUCGGCAUAGCUGCUCAUCUGAGCUGGAGGAGCAGGAGCUCUUGCGCCUGAGCGCGCUCGCCGGCGGCUUGGCUGCUGCAGUGCUGGAAAGCCCUGCUGGUUCAUGACGGGUGGCUGGCGGGGACGCCGCAAACCCUGAGCGGCGGUUUCUGGGUAGAUUCAGCAGCGGCGGCCGCAUGCUGGAUCCGCUCCUGUGUCAGCAGUGUGAUGAGGUAGUCCAGUUUCUGGCUGAGUUCAUCGCUAGGACGGACACUCUGACUGCUCACAGUGGGCUGGAAUCCGAUUGUGGUCGCUGUGGGUGGCACCGACUGCCAUACUUGCCUCCCUGGAAGAGGCUGGGAAUGACUCGCUGGCUGCCUUGUGCGGAGUGCAUCGGCAUAGCUGCUCAUCUGAGCUGGAGGAGCAGGAGCUCUUGCGCCUGAGCGCGCUCGCCGGCGGCUUGGCUGCUGCAGUGCUGGAAAGCCCUGCUGGUUCAUGACGGGUGGCUGGCGGGGACGCCGCAAACCCUGAGCGGCGGGUAAGGUAGGCAUUGAAAGUUUGCUCAACAUCCUGUUGGUCUGUUCUAACCCAUUUUUCCUUCUGUUGCAGUAUUCUUUAUAUUUGAUGCAACCACGGUAGCUGGCAACAUGGGGACCAUUACAGUUGGCGCAUUUCGGCACAUCCUCCCGCUUCUUGGGGCAGUCCUUGGGGUCAUGCUUCUCCCCACACUUGAGACAUACAACUGCACGGCUGCAGUAGUUCUUCGAGUGCCCAAACAUCUGACACUUAUGACACUGGGGAACGCCUGGCGCGCGUAUGGGCUUCUCGACCUUGAUCCGCUGGCUGCAAAUUGCCGUUAGCUCAUAGAUACCAUUGUUGCUCUCCUGUGGCUCAAGCUCAACCUCGAAUAGGUCCAAUGGCUCCUUUGUAAAUCUUUUAUGUAUAUUGGCAAUAUGCCUCA